rnacentral:rRNA from 1 species
CGUACACUCCUGCGGGAGGCAGCAGUGGGGAAUAUUGCACAAUGGGCGCAAGCCUGAUGCAGCCAUGCCGCGUGUAUGAAGAAGGCCUUCGGGUUGUAAAGUACUUUCAGCGGGGAGGAAGGCAAUACGGUUAAUAACCGUGUUGAUUGACGUUACCCGCAGAAGAAGCACCGGCUAACUCCGUGCCAGCAGCCGCGGUAAUACGGAGGGUGCAAGCGUUAAUCGGAAUUACUGGGCGUAAAGCGCACGCAGGCGGUCUGUCAAGUCGGAUGUGAAAUCCCCGGGCUCAACCUGGGAACUGCAUUCGAAACUGGCAGGCUUGAGUCUUGUAGAGGGGGGUAGAAUUCCAGGUGUAGCGGUGAAAUGCGUAGAGAUCUGGAGGAAUACCGGUGGCGAAGGCGGCCCCCUGGACAAAGACUGACGCUCAGGUGCGAAAGCGUGGGGAGCAAACAGGAUUAGAUACCCCGGUAGUCCC